rnacentral:rRNA from 1 species
CUGCGAAAGGCUCAUUAAAUCAGUUAUCGUUUAUUUGAUAGUACCUUACUACUUGGAUAACCGUGGUAAUUCUAGAGCUAAUACAUGCUAAAAACCCCGACUUCGGGAGGGGUGUAUUUAUUAGAUAAAAAACCAAUGCCCUUCGGGGCUCUUUGGUGAUUCAUGAUAACUUAACGGAUCGCAUGGCCUUGCGCCGGCGACGGUUCAUUCAAAUUUCUGCCCUAUCAACUUUCGAUGGUAAGGUAUUGGCUUACCAUGGUUUCAACGGGUAACGGGGAAUUAGGGUUCGAUUCCGGAGAAGAGGGAGCCUGAGAAACGGCUACCACAUCCAAGGAAGGCAGCAGGCGCGCAAAUUACCCAAUCCCGACACGGGGAGGUAGUGACAAUAAAUACUGAUACAGGGCUCUUUUGGGUCUUGUAAUCGGAAUGAGUACAAUUUAAACCCCUUAACGAGGAACAAUUGGAGGGCAAGUCUGGUGCCAGCAGCCGCGGUAAUUCCAGCUCCAAUAGCGUAUAUUAAAGUUGUUGCAGUUAAAAAGCUCGUAGUUGAACCUUGGGCCUGGCUGGCCGGUCCGCCUCACCGCGUGUACUGGUCCGGCCGGGCCUUUCCUUCUGGAGAGCCGCAUGCCCUUCGCUGGGCGUGUCGGGGAACCAGGACUUUUACUUUGAAAAAAUUAGAGUGUUCAAAGCAGGCCUUUGCUCGAAUACGUUAGCAUGGAAUAAUAGAAUAGGACGCGCGGUCCUAUUUUGUUGGUUUCUAGGACCGCCGUAAUGAUUAAUAGGGAUAGUCGGGGGCAUCAGUAUUCAAUUGUCAGAGGUGAAAUUCUUGGAUUUAUUGAAGACUAACUACUGCGAAAGCAUUUGCCAAGGAUGUUUUCAUUAAUCAGUGAACGAAAGUUAGGGGAUCGAAGACGAUCAGAUACCGUCGUAGUCUUAACCGUAAACUAUGCCGACUAGGGAUCGGGCGGUGUUUCAAUCUUGACCCGCUCGGCACCUUACGAGAAAUCA